GAAACAGGCUCGACGUUGGCGAAGUCGUGAAGCUUUGGGUUUGGUGUUUCGUAGAGAUUCUGAGCCUCUAAACUAGUGGGAAAGCUUCGUAUUAAGGUUAGAAACCGAUUCAUAACACUUAAAUUGAGUUUCGGUUUGAUUUUAUUGCCUUUCUAGAAUCUGGGAAUUUUCCGGCGAGUCUGAUGAUGCCUGGGUUGAAGAUGAUGGUUGAACCGAAACGGUACUGCCCCAUUUCGGUUAAACCGGUUCAAGUUUGGUGCAUAAUUACAUCAUCGAUCCCUGAACUUGAGACAAAAUGUCAAAUCAGUCACCGUAAUAGUUAGAAACUCUCGGUAGUCCUUUCCUUAGCCCUUUGUAGUCUGAAACUUUUAGAUCUUGAUAGUUCUAGCCCAAUUCACUUCAGCAGAUUUACAAAGCAGCCCUUUUAGUUACGAAUCCUAUCAUUUGGUACAUUCGACCCAAAAUCUUAAUUAAAUUGUGAAACCAAUAACGUUGUUAUUCGAGAUUAAUAAUAUGAAUAUCCUAAUUUUCAUUAAGAUUAGAUAAAUAUUUAGAAUUAUGACUUAAUAAUAGAAUUAGAAAUUGCUUAGUUUAAUUAAGAAUUUAGUUUUCCUUUCUCAUAGAAUAAUUGAAAGCUUCUAUCAUCUUAUGGAUAAUAAAAGCCUUAUAUCUAAUUACCCUCCUUAGAUGCCAUGAUUAAGAUAGCUCUUCUUAAGUUAGGUUCUUACUCCUAUCUCGAACAUUUUUUUGUCGAGAUGAUUCAUCUUCCCGUCACUUCACAUUUAAAAUGAGAAGUGAUCUCUUCGAAUGGCGCCAAACAUCAACUUAGAGUCUUCGGCUAUUUUAGUUUCUCAACCUAAUCUUUAUCCUCAUCUUUAGGCUCUUAUAGGCGGUCUAGUUCUUGUGCUUAUCUCAUUUCUUUUCCUCGACCGGACCUUCACCACUUGAUUUCCAGGUGGGUUGGUUUAAGGGGGUAAAUUCUUGUUGUGUGUUUAAAUUACGUUAUGCAAUGAUUUAUGAUUAUUGAACUUCCCGUGAUUCAUGAGUAUCCUAAUAAAUAAAUAAUAUUAAGCUUCAUAUGAUCACAUAAUACACUCAUAUGAUCAAAUUAUACACUCAUCCCUAGCUAGACCAUCGCCCCCAUUAUGAUUUACGGGCCGAGUUUUGCCCAUUUUGAUUCAUGGGCCGAGUUUUGCGCUCUAUGAUUUAUGAUACCGUCUGAUGGAUACAUAAUCCUAUACCUCUAUGAUUCUAGCGGUAGGACGGUGGGCUAGUUAGCGGAGUUAGGGGGCCCCUAGAUAAGAAUAUGAUUAGAAGUACUUAUGACUUCUACUGAAUAGAUACUAAGACCCACGAUAUACUUAAAGCCUAUAAAUAAUAUUCCAUGAUUAUGAAUAACUCUUAAUGACAACACCUUAAGAUUAAGAUAAUGAAUACGCAGGACUGACCCCGAGCCACCCACCAGGUCACGCAGGAGGAGCUAGAGAUCGGCCAGCUUCAGGAGAGUGCGAUCGUUGCCCAUCAUGUCGCAGGACUCAAAGUGAGUGAUGAGCUUAGGAGGUCGAGUAUUUGUAGUUUUAUGGAGUUAGACUUGAGACUAUUUCUUUCUGACUUUUAUUGUUGGAUUUAUGGGCGCCCACUUGUUAGGGUUUAUUUCAUCUUUGGCUAUUAUGAGUUUUGUUAGCGAUUUUGGAUUGAUUUUAUCGAUUUUGUUUUGGAGACAUUUAAUAGUCCCGGGCAUUUUGGUCAUUUAAUAAACGCGAGGAGUUUAGGGUUUAACAGUCACAUUUAUCAAGUUCACCCAAAGACAUUCCAACUAGACAUGCAUUCCUAAUUAGGUUCUCGAUAAGCUAGGCAUCACUCACAAGUCAUAUAAGAAUGCUCUAAAAUGCUCAAAGCAUAAAGUUCACUUACCUAGAAAUAUCCUGUUCUAUUGUCUCUGAACUAGAGUGAUUCCUUUCACAUAAGGCGCUCCUUGUUUUCAUAGUUCAAUGGUCGCAAGCAGUUCAUCGUUUCGAGGUCAGACACGGAUGUUAUGCUCAUUUUACUUCUUUAUAACUUCUCUAAACUUUCAAUGACGAUCGACUAAUGUUACUGUUCACAAGGGCUGAAUUACAAAAUCACCACCUAUAUUUUCCAUUAGCAAGUUUAGUUCAGAAUAUCUAUACAUUAGCAAAAGCUUCCCAAGAUCCUCAACUGUAAUUCAUCAUAAAAAUUAGAAGUACAGAAGUAGAAGUUACAAAUAUCUAACCAAUUACCAAAUGAACACUUAUCUUUUAAAUAAGGCAUUUGGGUCAUCCAAAUUUAUGGGUUUUCAAAUAGGUCAUCUUCAACCUCCAGACCCUUCGACAACGAGGCAUACCUCUGACGUCGACGUUGCUCCCGAACUCGGGGAGAGAACCACUCUCCUUCCGUUCUCGCUCAAAUGUUGGCAUCACAUGUCUUCCUUAAACAGCUUGUCGUUGAUCUGUCGGUGCUAGAGUCCCCUGGCACCUCCAACAAUUUGAUAUCCGUUAUGGAUAGCUCGUAGUGAGUGCAGACGAUUUCCCCAUGAUAAGGGCACGUCGACAUCCCUUUCUCCUUUUGGUUGGACAUAAUCUUGUUGUUCUAAAUCUUCCUUUCCAAUUGAAUGCUUCAUCAUGAUUGAUCAGUAGCUUUUCCUCUAAUCACGACUCACAUAAAAAAUAAUCAAGGUCACAUUAGCCAAGUAAAAGGAAAGUCAUAAAUUGAGAUUCAUAAGGCAACUAAAUAAUGAAUUGAAAUCAAAUUCUUCUAUUCUUCUUAUCUUGAUUUUUGACUAUCUUCAGUCAUCUCAUCAUUGUUAUUGGAGGAAGAACAUAGACCAUGAGCCUCUUCUCUAUUCUUAAAUGAUCGCGGCAAAACCAUCAAUCUAAUGAUGGUUUCGUCAACCUUGAUCUAUAGGCGGCUUGUUUUAGAUCGAUCUGCUAUCAUAUUCGAUAACAAUACCUGCAACACAACGUCUUAAAAUUGUUAGAAAUCGAAUUGAAAAAUUAGGGUUGCCAAUCUGGUUGAGUCGCGGACUAGGUCGCUUUCUUUAAGAUGUUUGCGGAAGUACCUCGAUUGCUCAAUCGCGCACAUCCGACUAUCAACCGGGUUGCCUCUAAGAUAAAAUAGCCACUCAAUAUUUCUUCUCGUUUGUGCGAAACGAGAAGAUCUCUGAAAUACACUCCCUCUUUGUUGUAGCAUUCUUUUCCUAUCUCCCUUUUGGGCUAGCCUUCUUUUUAAUUUAUAAUAACAUAUGACUUCUCCAACAAGUUGAUCAAUUAGAGAAAAUCAAGUGAUUUUGCAAUUAAGAGCAAAUCAAGUCAUUGUGCAAUCAAGAGCAAAUCAAGAGAUUAUGCAAUCAAGGAGAUGAUCAAUUGGAGCAAAUCAAGUGAUUAUGCAAUCAAGAAGAUUUUGAUUGCAAAUCAAGGAAGAUCACAUAUAAAGUGGAUGUUUUAAUGAUCAUUGAACAAUUAUCUCUUCAAAUAUAAAAUCUCAUCUAAACCAAUCUGAUUAACCGGUUAACACAUAGUCAAACUGAACUGAAUAUGGUAUCAAGAACUUAUCAAUUAUUCACACUUUCCUCAACAAAACAACAUUCAUAUUAAAUUUAAGAACAUGUCAAAAAAUCACUACAAGAAACUACUUACCUAACGCCAUGAGGAACAUCACCUUGGUCCAACAUAACUUGAAUUUGGAAGGGAAGGUUGACAAGAAUCCUUGUGGAUUUGCUAGCUUACUGCGAGACAAAGGUCAUGUGCCUCAAGGAGUUAGGUAAGCAGUUUCUUGUAGUGAUUUUUUGACAUGUUUGAUUGAAAGGUCGAUAAGAAUCCAUGCACUCACCUUGUGGAUUUCCUAGCUUACUAUGACACCACCAAACAAUAUGGUCUUGAAUCAGACUACGUAAAAAUGUGUCAUGUCAAAUAGUCGCUCUAGGGAGCAGCGAUGAGAUGGUUGCUAAGCCACCAUGUUGGCAAAUUCAAAACCUGGGUUGAUCUUUCCCAAGCAUUUGUGGAUGAUUACUACCCACCUUUGAAGAUAGCAGCUCUAAGAGAGUCUAUAUCAAGGAUGCAUUAAAGAGAUGGAGAAAGCCUUUAUGAUGCUUGGAAUUGAUUUCAAGAACUACUCGCUUCUUCCCCCAACACCAUGGGUAUACAAAUCACCAACUAGCAGACAUCUUUAGUCGCGGCUUGGACAGACAAACGUCAAUGCUAGUCAAUCAACUAGGUGGAAGUGACAUUACUAAUCGUACUCCAGACACUGCUCUCUUAUAUUUUGCCAGGUGUGCAGCUAAAUCAUGAAAAUGGGCUAGAAUCUCAGCUAUUUAACCUGCCAAUGUUUUCACUAUGCACCAUGUCAAAUGGUUUAUUGGCUCAAAUGCGUGCAUUGGAAAAAUAUGUUAGAUAUUUUACAAUGGGUACGCUAAUCCUCCUACUGCUUCUAUAUUUUCUUUUGCUUGGUGUGGUGAAUGUGAUAGCCAACGGGGAUAUAGCUUGAACUUCUUCACUAGCAGCCCUCCAUCGGUUGAGGAGAUGGCUUUAUAAAACAAGGAUUUCCAAAACAAUUGUCUUAGAGGUGAUUUUAACUACCCAAAUGGAGGAUGCCACUCAGACUUCUACAAACCCAUAGGAGAUAAUUACAACUCCACCACCGGCUUUCAAAACAAUAACCUGUUCAAGCAGUCUUGUGUGAGAAAUCAGACCGAUGGAGCUGCUCCUACCAAUACUGGCUAAGGACCACUUGGGUUGAUGGGAAGACCGCUCCAACCAAUGCAGCAAAAGACGCAAACCAAUUCGACAUCCAAAAGUGGCAACUUUGAGUUUAUCAAACAUCUUAAGCCGAUGCAAGAGAAAAUGACUAACUGACAAGCGGAUUUUACCAUGCUUAUCACAUAUCCACUAGAUUGCUCUAAUGGAAUCAUAUUUCCAUAGGUUCUUUCUAAUGCUAUUACUCAAUUCAAAUAUGCUAACUAAACCAAGCAACAAAGCAUGUUUGUUUGUUUCUUUGUUGAAGUAACCAAUUAUGAACUAAGAGUACAAACCAAAAGAAAGCAAAAGCAAGAGAUUAAGUUUCAAAUAUGGGAAUGAAGGUUGUUCGGACUCGAAUCCACUAAAGCUAACAAUGAAUGGAUGAACGAUAUGCAAUCUCAAUUAUUCAGGUUAUAAUGGCUUGGCCUUUUCCUACAUAGUCUUAGAUCGCUCUCACGACUCUAAGGAUCUAUUUUGCUUGACUGUGGACUCCUCUCUUGAGCUAAGCUAUACCCAAGCAGAACGCAAUAAAGGUGUUCGAUGAAAUGCGUGAACUAGAAUGUUGAAAAAAGCCUAGACGAUUCGUUCCUCUCUUGAGCUAACAUAGAAUCUAGAGUUCUUCCUAAGCGACCUAUGGAUCUACGUUCCUCUUGGACCUAAAAAUCAAUGACAAAGAUUCAAUCAAGAUGAUCAAAUGAAAUUGAAUCAGAAAUUAGGUUUAGCAAGAACACAUCAUAAGUUUGAAUAACCUCGAUAGAAUAAUCAAAGGGUUAGCAACCCAUCAUCCAUACAAAAGCUAAGCUAAAGUUUCAUCUAAUCCAAACAACACAAAAGGUUUAGCCACUUGUGAUUUUGGAAAAUAAAUCACAAGAGAAGAGAAGAAAAAUUGGAGACGACGACAUGUUCUUCGUGGAAAUCCCAAUCUUCGACUUGAUGAUUCGCCCUUCGCCAAUCGUGGUUGAUCCUCUCGCUUCAAUCUUCUCUUUGGAAAUCUAACUCUCUCUAAGAGCUCGAAAAUAUGUGUAUAAUGAAGUAUAUUUCGUACAAAAGGGUCUACGGGGAAUUUAUAGGGUUCUGGGCCAAGUUGGAGGAGGAUUAAGCUCAAAAUUCUCGCGAGGACAAAGGACAUGGCGUGUCCUUAAUGGCCAUGCCGUGUUCCAUGAAGAAAUGACAUGUUACUAGAAGGACAUUCUGUGUUCCAUGAGGAUAGGGUGUGUUCCUAAAAGGACAUGGUCGUGUCCUUUCUUCUUCUCAUCUCGGUCGUGGGCAUCAAUCGGAAAACACGACAGUGUUCUUUUAGGAACACGCCUUGUUCUUGAGUAUACGGAAUUUGACCAUGGUGUCAUUAUUAAUUUUUUAGACAAUCAAACUAGCUUUCCAACGCCGCUGUCCUUGCAUAAGUCAGACUUCCGAGCGAUAAGCUAUGCUCAAAAUACUAAACUGUGACGUUUUCUUCCUAAGUCUAGCGUUCUUAGUUGUUCCAGCCUACUCGUCAUUACUUGAUACAUCAAGAGACGUCAUAUGACACCUGAAAUGUACCAAAAACAUACAAGGAAAUGUAACAAGGCCCAAGGGGCCAAGCGGAACUAAAUAUGCACCAAACGUCAUGAAUUCGAACAUGUUAAGGCAUCCAAACGUCCAAAAACAUCGUUUAAAGCGGGAACAAAUGUGCUAAUAAUCGAGCUCAUCACUAACCAUGAAGUUCUUGUGCAGGGAAAACAUGCUACUCAGCAGUUAUAAUGGGCUAUACAAUAGGGCAAGAAGAUGCCUCAAUGACAACUUUUGGGUAACACCGAAAGGUAAAAAAGUUGGAGAAGAGGAACGUCACUAGGUUAACAUUUGCUCGUUGCUCAAAUCACUUUUAAUAUAAGGUCGGCUUGGUUGAAAACUAAUAUUGGUUAGUUAUUUCUUCUAUGAAUUUGUAGGAAAUGAUGCUCACAUGUCUCUCAUUACCAUCUCCUCAAAACUUUCAAUUUUUAGGUUCCUCGAUAAUGAACAUAGUGUUUGACAAAAUGCAUAGAAGCCUAGAUGACCAUGAGGGGAUUACAAUCAUUUGGUGAGGGUGCUAAGUCACUAUUUGAUACCCCUAACACUCUAUCCUUCAAUUGUGUCACUCAAUUGAGAGAUAACCAAAAUGCCCGCCAAGUGUUUGAUGAAAUGCUCAUAAGACAAUCCUGGCAUAAAAGGUUGAACCGACCUGAGGCUUGGUCCACACACACCUCUCCUUAAUCUUGGACAAGAAACAAACACAUUUCAACCCAGAGAAUUCAUAGAAACACAUUGAUUUGACCUAAUCUAAGCUAUAUCAGAAAUUAGGUUGUAAGCACCAUGGUCCAAGCACCACUUAAUCAUUAUAUAGAAAUCAAUUGUUGCAAACCCUAUACUUUUAGGGAAGUAUUAUUGCAACAACAUCAUCAAUACCUAACAACAUUCACAAGCUAGCCUACUAUGGCUAGGGAGAAUAAGAGGGGAGAACAAUGGAAGAACACCAUCUUGACAUUUAUUUGAAACAAGUCUUCAAUUGUUUCAGUCUUCAUGAACUCCUAUCCCCAACCUAUCCUAGUUUUCCUUGCUCUUCCUUUGAUCUUCAAGUAGGUCUUCUAGGGUUUAUAGAAGAGUAGAGGAAGGUGAAAAUGGAGUAUGGUCUCUAAGGUAUAAGAAAGCUCAUUUCCUCUCCCUUAAAGGCCUCUAUUUAUAGGCUUAAAGGCUUACACGGUAGGGCCAGUCAUUUUAGGAAACAUGGCAGAGGAACCCAUGCUAGCAAGCAUGCCAUGUAAUCCCUUAUUUAAUGGUAUCCAUGGGUUCUUGGCCUCCUCCUCACGUCACAAACAUGCCUUCUCAAAUGGCACAACACUAGUACUCGUGUUAGUUAACACGACAUAGGCUAUCGUUGUUACCUUACACGUUGUGUAGGUUUGCAUUCUUUGAUUUAUACUGGCAUUUGGGCCCUUCAUCAUGACACCAACACGUCAAGGCAUUUGGCACGAUAGAGCAUCCAUGUUGGGUAACACGACAUAGGCUGUGGUGUUACCUUACACACCGUGUAACAUAGCUGCUUUAAAGCUUGGUUUACCAUAGCUUCCACGUCUCAAUGGGAACAAACGAAGCCAUGAUGGGUGAGAAUAUCACUACAUGUUGGAGUGGAAUCAAACUACCCCAAGAUUGAACAUUGGUGGUCCUUAAGCAAUCCUACUAAUCACACUCAAUGUGAACUCAAAAUGUAGCGAUUGGAAAACACUGCCUAGCACUUCAAGCCUAUAUCACAAUGCUAAGGGUGCAAGUUAAUUACAAAACUACACAAUUACAAACACGGAGCAUGUUAGACUAGUACAAAAAAGCUCAUGCAUAUGAAGCUUAUGGCUCAUUACCCACCCAUUAGAGUGUAUCUAACAUCUCGUCAACACUUAUGCCUUUGUGGUGCCAGUGGAAGAAACAGACAGUCAGAUCAUCUUGGUUGGGUAUUUUUCUUCAAAAUAAGUAAGAACUAUCAUUCAAGCAUGCUAGCACCCCCUCUUAUCUUCAGUUGCUUUGCUGGACUAAUGUAUUUAAUUUUCAAAUUGAUUUUCUUCUUCUCUUUGUAAGGCUUGUUUUUACGAGUAGAGGUAGUCAUGACUCUAGUUAGACUUGAAUCUGGUCAAUGACGGCCCCAGUACCCUGACCCAUGCCUCGAGGGUUGAGGAGAACAGCCUACAGUGGCGAGCAAAUAGGCGGUGGAUCAAAAUUCACUAUAUGUGUUUGAAUCACAAACAGACGCUUAUGACUUUAUUUGGAUUCAUUAGCCUCUAUCAACUACCUCGAUGCUCAUCUCAUUUGUUUUGAACUCAUAACAACACUAGUAAAAUUUUUUAGAAGGAUACAUCAUACACCACAAGGCAAAGAAAAUGAUACACCGAGAGGUAUAUAUCAAGUUAUAGAGGUCAUGAGAACUAUGGCAAACAAGAACCUCUUGCUUGGGUUUGUAUCAUCUAGAGAACUAUAGAAAACAGUAAAACAUCUGAACAUGGAGGACAUGAAUAAUAACAAGUUUUGGAUCCUUAAGAUCAGGUCUAGCGGCUUCAUGACCUAGAACCACCAGCAUCACUUCCUAAAAUUCAUUCAACAAAAAACCAAUCAACAAUUGCAACAGAAAACCUAAUUAAUGAUAGGACAACUGCAAAACUUAAUGUUACACCCCAAAACUAAUGUGAUAAAUGUUUGCUUGAUGUUCCCAAAAUAUCGUUAGGAAAAUCCAUGAGUAAUUUUUAUUUUGUUAGUAAUGUUGCUAUUAUGAUUAAUGUUGUGAUUAUAAAGUGUGGAACAUGUUAUGUGAUCCUAUGUCAUGCUUAGGUAGCUAAUUAAUUUCAUGUUACUAUGGUAGAGUAGUAAUUUGGAUGAACUGUUAGCUUUCUAAAUCAUUAGGAUUCAUUUUGUGGAAUUAUGAUUGCUGCCUGGUCAGGAUUAAAGUCCCCAAACGAUUUUAAGUCACAAAGUGACAUGUAGUCUAGUGGUUAAAUUAGGUUUGAGCCCAUAACCAAGAAGGCUAGAGUUUGAGCCUCCCCUUUGAUCCUAUUUUUCCUUCCUUCACUUAACCAAAAAACGCCGUCUGGAGUGCCACUUGUGCAUGUCUGAAUGGAGCUAACGUAGCGAGGCCAGCUAAUUCGAAGGAGCCACGGCAGGGGCGGCUGACAUCACCGUCGCCAGCUCAGUUUCCUUCGUCUGCUAGUGAACAUGCCAUCGGAGAAGACGACUUGAAAACAUGUCGUGGCGACGCCUAAAGUUUCACUGAUUACAGUUUAAUAAGUGGACUUCUUGAGGCUAGAUCCGGUCCCUUAAGUUUCAGAAAUUGCUGGCAUAAAACAAACUUUAAAAUGUUGACAGAUUACUUAAUAACUAGCCCUAUGUACCUACCACGACCCUAAUGUUUUGGAAUGUGACAUUUUUGACGCCAAAUGAAUGUAAAAGCUGUUUAAGUGUUGAAGGUUAACCUUAAUUGAUUUUUGCAUGCUAUUAAAGUAUUUUGAGGAUAAUCACUGGACUUCCUAAGCUCAUAAAUGGAUUAAGGAAUGGUUUAUUUCUUUGUAAGUAAUUAAGAAUCAAAAGUAAUUAGGAUUCUAAAAUCGUUUUCGCCUUAUCAUUUUAAUCAUUGAGAUAAACCCUAGCUAACGCAAGUCGUCUCCCUGACCAUAUUAUUUUGAGUCAAACCCUAAGUCUAAUACCUAAAUUACCACAAUCAGGUCCUUAAUGUCGUGCCCACUUUCCAUCUUAGAUCUCAGUCUUUCGUGUUGGACAUGCACGCUUCACUUUUCUAUGUGAGUGGUUUAAGGGGGUAAAUUCUUGUUGUUGAUAUAUUAGGUGUAAGUCAUGUGGUGAAUUUUUGUCGUUGUUAUGUUUAGAUAUAAGUCAUGUGGUGAAUUCUUGUCGUUUCUAUGUUUAGAUGUAAGUCAUGUGGUGAAUUCUUGACAUUUCCAUAUUUAAGUUUAUGCCAUGUUGUAAGUCCUUAAUGUUUCCAUGUUCAUGUUUAUGCUUUGUGUGAUGUUUCCACGUUAUGUUCAUGUAUGUCAUUAAUUACUUAAUCAUCAAGUAGACCUACAAUAGGUGAAAUAAUAACACAUCUCUCUCUAGCUAGAUCACUAUCCCCAUGUUACCUUCAUGUUUCAUGUUUCAUGUUUGGGACAGAUGACGAUUUUCAUGUUUUAUGGUCUGAUGUAUACGUACUUCUGGACUCUCACGUUUACGUUUGGGCGGUUGGGCUAGUUAGUAGAGUUAGGGGGUCCCUAGAUGUAACGUUCAAGUAAACCAUGCCAGGUCUAAUAAUAUAUGUAAUCCAGAAUAAUGUUAUGGCUUGGAUUGUUAUUCUAAAUGUGAAUGUUUACUCAAGAGUUAAAAGCUAAUGUAAAACACUAAUAGUUGAGCACGUAAGACUGACCGCAAACGACUCGCCAAGUUAGACUAGAGAUACCGAAGCGGAGGCUCCUUGUGAUGACACCCACCCAGUGGCCCCAAUCCAUGAUGUCAAGGUUUUGAGAAGUUAAGAGCCCUUAGAGGAGAUUAACAAAACAGUCACCGAACUCGAAGAACCUUGAAAACAUAAGCAUUUCGGACGAAGAAUCUCAGAGAUGGAAGAAAGGACAUCCCUAUCUUGGAGUCAUGAAGAUAAUGGAGCACUUUACGAUUUCCUGAUCCAACGAGUGGCACUGAUGCCGCAUCACAGCAUCGAUACCGACAUCAACAUCACUACCGCACCUAAUAAUAAAGAUCCUCAAGAACGAACGUUCGGGCCAACUUUUCCCGAAUGUUUUUGGAUCAGAUGUGUGGAUUGAUGAGGAGAGAUGUGUCCCUGAGUUUUGGAGCAUUUGGUGCACAAUUGAAUUCGAAGGUGCGAAAUUACUCGAAAUCGGGUCCACCGAUUGCGGAGGAUUGGACCAAAUCGCACCCUGGCCCAAACGAGAAGACUUUUCCCGAACCAUCUCUGGACCAGGUGAUUAAUGAGCUAUUUGAAGAUGAAUGAGGCCAUUGGAAGCAAGGAGAAACGAUUUUGGAGUCGAAGCCCACAAGUGGACUCGUCAAGGUUAUGUCGGAGCUUCCGAAGUGAGGCCUCUUCAACAAUUUUGAGCUCGAACCAGUUUAGCUCCCACAAGGAGCUUAUCAAUCAUUCAUUGGUCUUUCAUGAGUAUGUCCAAGGCCCCAGACCAGGCCAUCUACCCUCCACCAAGGCGCACGACUCAUUAAGCCCAUUUGAGCUUAAGUGAGUCUGUUAUCCGUUUAUUGUUUCCCUUAGUUGUUUAGGACUUGGAUUGUGUUUGGUUUUCCUUUAGUUGUUAGGAAUAGUAUAGGAAGAUCCAAGGGCUCCUUCCUAGAAGGUCCUUGGCCGAUUAAGUUCCUUAGGGAACAAGGAUUGAUGUAAUGAAGACUUGAUCCUAAAGGAAGAAUGAGACUUGCCAAGCAAGGACUCUUCUAACCCUUUAUUUUAUUCUUUUUCCCUGUAAUUUCGUGGAUGCCCUCUACUAUAUAAAGAGAGACCAGCCACCAUAUGGAAAUAAGACGUCCUUGAAAUCAAUCAAAGUAAUUUUCGGCUUAGGCGUUUAUCAUUCGUUUUAUUUUUAGCACGUCGUUGCUAGGAUAGCUGAUUUGUUUAUAGUAGUCGAGUUAUCACCCACUCUACAUGGAAUCUUUGAUUAAUUGAGACAUAGACCCACCCUUGGACCUUGUGAUCAAUUGGUCAGCUAGGUAACUAGUCCAUCCGGUUGUUGGAUUUGUUUGGAAUUUUGAAAAUCUUAUUUUGAUAGCUUGUCCCGAUCGUUGUUAUUCAUGCAUUCCGGAUCAUAUCAUUUUGAUAUCAAAGCCUCAUUCUUAUCACAAGAACUACGUACCCUUUACUAUUGCUUUUAGUUUUGAUCGUUUUCAAAAAAAUAGAAAAAGCCCUACAAAUCAGCGCAGCCAAACCCUAAUUGGGAGGUCUUUUGCAAUUUUUGGAUUUUCUUUCUACCUUGGGUUGGAAGUCCUUAUGUUUUUAGUUUUUCAUGUUUCUUAUGGAAGAAGAAAAGUAAGGUGGGAAAAUUUCGACGAAUUCGUCAAAGAAAUCUUACAAAAUUGGGAAAUCAAGAGGUAUUCAAAAGCCUUUCAACCCAACCACCUCCACCUCGCCGAGUAGUAUAGGAGAUCGCAACUAGGGCAGAGACUUUCAUCUCUUUGAUAGCUUGGAAUUUGAGUUUUUAAAUCUUGAACUAUAGAAACGAUUAGUACCUAGUCAUAGCUCGAGUCUAAGUUGCUUGCUUGUGCUUUCUCGAUUGUGAUAAUUCUUGAGUCUUGAUCUUAGAAGAAUCGUUGGUAGGAAUCAGACAUUGGCCCACCAAAUUUCUUAUCUCGUUAAAUAUUUUCCUUCGUUUCAAAUUGAGUGUAUACAUGAGUGGAAAAACAAAGAGUGGUGAGAUUAGAACAUUGAUAGUUGAGAGAUUUGCGAUGCCCAUUUGUUUAUGUUCUAAUAAUGUUUUGCGAGGUUCGACGAUAGUUGGUGGAGAUCCAACGAAAGCUCGAGGCCUCUAGAGUAAGGCCACCAACCAACGCCACACCAACACGAAUACUUGAAGGUUGAGGCACCAUUGUUGCCGCUACUUUGGAGGACUUAGAGUAGCGAGAGAACCUCUUCUACACGUGUUGCAUCAUCAACAAUCUCGAGUGUAGCUUAGUCAUCCAUGGAGAAAGUUUUAUAAACAUAGCAAGCGCCAUUCUCAUGGAGAAGAUGGGGAUGCCCACAACAAGACAUCCAAAGCCUCACAAGAUUUGGUGCCAUAACAAGGGAGGAGAAUUAACUGUGACAAUGAAAGUACUAUUUCCUUUUGGUAUUGGAAAUAUUGUGACGAGGUGUUAUAUGAUGUAGUACCAAUGGAGGCUGCCCACAUCUUGCUUGGUCAGCCAUGACAAUUCGAAAAACUUACUCUUCACUACUUGAAGCCAAAUCGAUACAUCAUCACCCAUGAAGCGAAGAGGUUCACCCUAAAGGCCGUUACACGAAACAAAGUUUGUGAAGACAUCUUACAGAGACGUAGGACACGAGAGUAAAGAGAGAAGAAAGAGAGAAAGCUCAAAAUAAGAGAGAAGAGCGAACAAACGAGAGCUACCCCAUUGAGUGUAAAAAUAAAAAUUUCGAAUCAUGAGCUUAAAAAAAGUGAGGUCGAGAGGAGAGAAAAUAUGUCAGAUACACCUAGUGAGGAUAGUCAAAACUUAGUUGUAUCCCUUAUAGUGCCACACCACAAGGAGUGUUUAGAUUUGUAUAACGUAACAUAUCCUCUUUAUAGUGUUGUUUCUUCUACUUUGCAGGAAUUCUAAGAACAUUCUUUGGAAGUACUUAAGGCCAAAUGUAUUCUUAGGCCAUCCCAACAAGACCAAAAUGAACUGGAGGUGAAGGAAGAGCUAAAACUACAUGUAAAGGAGUCCAUCAAGAAUGGCUCAAGGAUGAUGAUUCAAGUUGAGCUACCAGGAGGAGCACCAACAAGAAUUUGCGUGGAAAUUUCAGCCAACAAAACCAAUGAGUCUCCUUAUCGUUACUCUUUAAAUUUGAAUGUUAGCAGUCUUAUUUAUAAAGGUUCGAAACUUGUUAGGAUUAGGGGUAAAGAAUCAACACAUGCCUGUGAUGAAUAUAACUAGUUAUGAUAGGAUUGGUUGGAUAAAGUCGAUCUUUGAAAUCAUAUCAUAUUUUUCUCGUUUAAUGUAUAACAUCAAUCGGCCUAGGGAUAGGAAUAAAUG
rnacentral:lncRNA from 1 species